AUGAGAGCUCUUUCUUGAUUCGGUGGGUGGUGGUGCAUGGCCGUUCUUAGUUGGUGGAGCGAUUUGUCUGGUUAAUUCCGAUAACGAAACGAGACUCUAGCCUGCUAAAUAGGCGAUUUCCGGUACCCAAAAUAGUGUUACCGGCGAUUCAAUUUCUUCUU
rnacentral:rRNA from 1 species